UACGUAGGGGCGAGCGUUGUCCGGAAUUAUUGGGCGUAAAGAGCGUGUAGGCGGUUCGGUAAGUCUGCCGUGAAACCUGGGGCUCAACCCGGGCGUGCGGUGGAUACUGCCGGGCUAGAGGGUGGUAGAGGCGAGUGGAAUUCCCGGUGUAGCGGUGAAAUGCGCAGAUAUCGGGAGGAACACCAGUAGCGAAGGCGGCUCGCUGGGCCAUUCCUGACGCUGAGACGCGAAAAGCUAGGGGAGCGAACAGG
rnacentral:rRNA from 1 species